rnacentral:lncRNA from 1 species
ACUAUAGUCUGAGGUAUGUGGCUAAUUUUGGCCAGCAAUAUCAAGGACAUGAAACUCAAGUCUCAGAUUAACAGACGUGUGUAGGAUUUCAGUCCCAUUUGAAUACACCCGAUGGAUGUACGACCUUGAGAAAUUUACUUAACACUUCCAGGUCAGCCCGGCGUGGUGGCUUAUGCCUGUAUUUCCAGCACUUGGGGAGGCCAAGCCGGGUGGAUCACGAGGUCAGGAGUCCGAGACCAGCCUGGCCAACAUGGUGAAAACCUGUCUCUACUAAAGAUACAAAAAUUAUCUGGGUGUGGUGGUGGGCGCCUGCAAUUCCAGCUACUCGGGAGGCUGAGGCAGGAGAAUCAUUUGAACCUGGGAGGCAGAGGUUGCAGUGAGCCAAGAUCACACCAUUGCACUCCAGCGGGGGCAACAGGGCUAGACUGCCUCUCAAAACAAACAAACAAACAAACAAACAAACAAAAACAUUUCGGGGUCAAAUGUUUGUCACCUAAAAACAAAGCCAUUGAGCAUAAGAAGAACAUAAUGGACUUUGGGGACUCAGGAGGAAAGUGUGGGAAGGGGAUGAGGGAUAAAAGACGACAAAUAUGGUGCUGUGUAUACUGCUCUGGUGAUGGGUGCACCAAAAUCUCACAAAUCACCACAAAAGAACUUACUCAUGUAACCAAAUACCACCUGUUUC